GCUAAAUAGCUAGCUCGACCACCAAGACUAAAAUCACACCAUCCAUAACCUUAUUUAAACCUAAACAACCAAACUAAACCAUUCUCCUGCCUUAGUACGGGCGACGGAAAAGGCACUUACUAGAAGCAAUAGAAAAAGUACCGCAAGGGAAAGCUGAAAGAGAGGUGAAACAGCCCAUCAAAGCCUAAAAAAGCAGAGACUAACCCUCGUACCUUUUGCAUCAUGAUUUAGCUAGUAUCCUUGAGCAAAGAGAACUUUAGUUCAAACCCCCGAAACCAAGUGAGCUACCCCGAGACAGCCUACAUCAGGGCCAACCCGUCUCUGUGGCAAAAGAGUGGGAAGAUCUCCGGGUAGCGGUGACAGACCUACCGAACUUGGUGAUAGCUGGUUGCCUAGGAAAUGGAUAGAAGUUCAGCCUCGUACUCCUCAACUCAUAUAAGUACCACUACACACGAAACUGAGAAAUAUACGAGAGUUAGUCAAAGGGGGUACAGCCCCUUUGAACCAGGACACAACCUUACAUAAGGAGGUUAAGGAUCAUAUUUAAUAAGACUACUGCUCCAGUGGGCCUAAAAGCAGCCACCUGAAUAGAAAGCGUUAAAGCUCAGGCAGAACAAUAAAUCUAUUAUUCUGAUAACUCAUCCCAAACCCCUCCAAAUACUAGGCCAUUCCAUGCCAACAUGGAAGAGACCCUGCUAAAAUGAGUAAUAAGAAGGAACCCCCUUCUCCCGAUCCACGUGUAAGCUAGACCGGACCAACCACUAACAAUUAACGAACCCAACACAAGAGGGCAACGUGAUUAUAAACAAACAACAAGAAAACACCACAUCACACCCAAUCGUUAACCCCACACUGGAGGACCAAAGGGAAAGACUAAAAGAAAAAGAAGGAACUCGGCAAACACAAGCCUCGCCUGUUUACCAAAAACAUCGCCUCCUGCAUAAUAACUCAACGUAUAGGAGGUCCUGCCUGCCCAGUGACAACUAGUUAAACGGCCGCGGUAUUUUGACCGUGCUAAGGUAGCGCAAUCACUUGUCUUUUAAAUGAGGACCUGUAUGAAUGGCGGAACGAGGGCUUAACUGUCUCCUUUUCCUAGUCAAUGAAAUUGAUCUACCCGUGCAGAAGCGGGUAUACUAAUACAAGACGAGAAGACCCUUUGGAGCUUAAGAUAAAAGGCCAACUAUGUCAAAGGCCCAAAUAAAACUAAGCCAAACAAAACAGCCAACUGGCCAAUAUCUUCGGUUGGGGCGACCGCGGGGGAAAACAAAGCCCCCACGUGGAACGGGGAAUAUACCCUAAAACCAAGAGAGACAUCUCUAAGUCACAGAACAUCUGACCAAAAGAUCCGGCCAACCAAGCCGAUCAACGGACCAAGUUACCCUAGGGAUAACAGCGCAAUCCCCUCCAAGAGUUCAUAUCGACAAGGGGGUUUACGACCUCGAUGUUGGAUCAGGACAUCCUAAUGGUGCAGCCGCUAUUAAGGGUUCGUUUGUUCAACGAUUAAAGUCCUACGUGAUCUGAGUUCAGACCGGAGCAAUCCAGGUCAGUUUCUAUCUGUAAAGCUACUUUUCCUAGUACGAAAGGACCGGAAAAAUGAGGCCCAUGCUACAAGUACGCCUCCCUCCAACUUAAUGAAACCAACUAAAUUAAAUAAAGGAAGAGCAACCCAGCCCCCAAGAUAAGGGUCU
rnacentral:rRNA from 2 species